GACGGGACCCGCACAAGCGGUGGAUGAUGUGGUUUAAUUCGAUGCAACGCGAAAACCUUACCCACCUUGACAUGGCAGGAAUCCUGAAGAGAUUUGGGAGUGCUCGAAAGAGAACCUGCACACAGGUGCUGCAUGGCUGUCGUCAGCUCGUGUCGUGAGAUGUUGGGUUAAGUCCCGCAACGAGCGCAACCCUUGCCAUUAGUUGCUACGAAAGGGCACUCUAAUGGGACUGCCGGUGACAAACCGGAGGAAGGUGGGGAUGACGUCAAGUCCUCAUGGCCCUUAUAGGUGGGGCUACACACGUCAUACAAUGGCCGGUACAGAGGGUAGCCAACCCGCGAGGGGGAGCCAAUCCCACAAAGCCGGUCGUAGUCCGGAUCGCAGUCUGCAACUCGACUGCGUGAAGUCGGAAUCGCUAGUAAUCGCGGAUCAGCAUGUCGCGGUGAAUACGUUCCCGGGUCUU
rnacentral:rRNA from 1 species